UGGGGGGACCUGAAGUCGGUGGGCUAACCGCAAGGGAGGCAGCCAACCACGGUAAGGUCAGCGACUGGGGUGAAGUCGUAACAAGGUAGCCGUAGGUGAACCUGCAGAAGGAUCA
rnacentral:rRNA from 1 species